rnacentral:lncRNA from 1 species
GAAAAGGGUUUGCUCCUUUUCUUGUACCCCAGUAGCCACUGUAUUGGUGACUAUAGCCCAAAAGCAACUUGUGCAGGAAUCCUCUCGCCAGACCCAUGCUAACCUCAAACAGGUUAGAAGGUGGUUUGUUCAAACUCAUGGUGGGUAAGCAGCUUUAAAGGCAGAGAUUAUGUGUUACCCAGUAAGAUAAUACAAACAAGGCAGUAUUACAAUUUUGCAGUCAUUGUGUAACACAGAGGAAAAUACAGAUAUUCCAGCUGUGUUUGUAACACACCUCACACACAGGUGCGUCAACCAUUAAGAAAGACUGCGCAGAUUAGUGAAAUCUUCCUCAUCUGUCUAAAUGCGUCUGGAUGCAACAAAGUUCAAUGGAGCAGAUGCGCGUAUUUCAGGAUUUUACAUCUACCCUCUGAUUGCAUGGUUACAGUAUUGACUCAACCUCCAGUUCACUUCCUCUGGGAUUUCUUCAUCUUCAGACUUUUUCCUCUGUAGGAGUGAGAUGUUACAACACAGGAGUUGAGAUCCUUUUAUAAACAUUGCUUUUGAGUAAAGUUCUGGAUUAACAUGGAGUUAUAAUAUCACAAUUAUUGGUUAUUAAUUGUUGAUAACUGAGAUUUUUCUUUGAGGAUUUUGAAGAUUGACACUGAAUCUCUUGUUCCUGACUGAAAAUCCUGAUUCUGUGCCAUCAGCAGUCCUUUGGCAGCACUCUCUUCAGGAUCGUGCACCUAUGAUAAUUCUUUUCUUGCAAUCAGUUUUGUAAUCCAUUACUUUAAAGCAACAAAAAUCAGAUUUGUUUAAUUUUCAAGGGGCAACCACUGAGAAACUGAGUCCCUUUUUUCUCACCUGCACAACUCUGAACAGGAUAUGGGAAAUGAUGUAAGAAAAUUUUGAUUUGGGACGGUAUCUGUUCCACAUAAUAUUCUUAAGUACUCAAAUCACACUUUCUGUGUUUCAAGUGCUUUGUCUAUUCUAGUAAUAAAUGCUCAUGGUACUCCCACUGAGUUACAACCUUUUGGUGAAGGAGAGGUGGGUGACUUGCCUACUGCAACACAGUGAGUCAUUGGCAGAACGAGGAUUGCAACACAGGAUUUCCUGUCUUCCAAAUCUGUUCUGGUUGUUUCAGAUCAGGCUGCCUCCCAAACAGGAGUGAUCUACUGGGAUUAUGAACCAUUUGUUUGAGACUAGUCAUCCACCACUUAUUAGAAUGGACAGCAAGCAUCUGAGAGAAACAAAUAUUGCUCCUUGGGGAACACAACCUGUUCCACCAAAUGUAUUUACACAAAGGAAAAGCCUGAAAUAACUAGUGCUAGAAAGCUGCUGUAUACCAAAUGACAGUGUGGACAGUCUUGAUUGAUUGCAUUUUGUGUGUGAAAGUUAUUCUACAUUGAAUUACGCUAAACCUCAAGACAGCUUUUCUUGCAGAAUAGGAAUGGCCAUGCAGAGAGCAAGUCUAAAAUAGUUAUUAAACUCUAAUUGUGUCUCAUACCUAUUGCACAAGACUUUUCCAAAGGAGACGUGCUGUAAGAAAAUAUCACGUGACGUAGGAAGAAGAUGGAUGAGGCAUUUGGCCCUUGGCACUUUUACCACAUCAUAUACCAGGCAGCACCUCCAUUUACGAUGUGUUUUGAGCCCACAUGAUUUAAUUAGGCUCUUCUCUUGCCAAAAAUAGCAUGGUUGAUAGAAAGCCUAAGUAUCUGCAGAGAAAUUGUGGCAGAUCCAUAGCGGCAGGCAGGUCCCUCAUGUCUAGGAAGGGGGAUA